GAGCGAACCGUCCAAACGUUAUUCGGAAUCACUGGGCUUAACAGAGUUCGUAGGCGGUCUUGGAAAGUUGGGUGUGAAAUCCCUCGGCUCAACCGAGGAACUGCGCUUGAAACUACCAGACUCGAGGGAGAUAGAGGAAAGCGGAACUGAUGGUGGAGCGGUGAAAUGACGUUGAUAUCAUCAGGAACACCGGUGGCGAAGGCGGCUUCUGGGUCGUUACCUUGACGCUGAGGAACGA
rnacentral:rRNA from 1 species